AUACCGGGCACCCCUUGGGGGGCGCCCGGAAUAAUAAUAUCUGAAGUUCCUCUUUGACUGGCCAAUAGCAAUAUUGGCCUUUUUUUA
rnacentral:sRNA from 1 species